rnacentral:lncRNA from 1 species
GAUCCCCCAAGUUCUCCACCACCACCAUCCAACCCACCUAGAAGUCCUUUGCCACCAUCAUCAACACCACCACCACCGACAAAUUCACCUCCAACAGCAUCACCAAAUCCACCUCAAAAUCCACCGCCACCAUCGGAGCCACCUAAGAAUUCACCACCAUCUCCACCAUCAUCUAAGCCACCUGAAAAUUCACCACCACCAUCACAACCACCUAGCAACUCUACCACCCCACCACCAGUAACUGUGCCACCUCCCAGAAGUUCACGUCUUCCUCCAGCAUCAAUUCCACCUACAAAUUCACCUC